rnacentral:tRNA from 3 species
GCCCGUUUAGCUCCAAUUGGUAGAGCGCCUGUCUUGUAAUCAGGAUGUUUGCGGUUCGAAUCCGUAAAUGGGCACCA